rnacentral:rRNA from 1 species
AACGUAGGAGACAAACGUUAUCCGGAGUUACUGGGCGUAAAGGGCGUGUAGGCGGUCUGUUAAGUCUGGCGUGAAAGCUCUCGGCUAAACCGGGAGAGGUCGUUGGAUACUGGCAGACUAGAGGACGGUAGAGGCGUGUGGAAUUCCGGGUGUAGUGGUGAAAUGCGUUAGAGAUCCGGAGGAACACCAGUGGCGAAGGCGACACGCUGGGCCGUACCUGACGCUAAAGCGCGACAGCAUGGGGGAGCAAACGGGG